AGGAUGAACGCUGGCGGCGUGCUUAACACAUGCAAGUCGAACGGAGCACCCUGACGGAGUUUUCGGACAACGAAGGGAAUGCUUAGUGGCGGACGGGUGAGUAACGCGUGAGUAACCUGCCUUGGAGUGGGGAAUAACAGCCGGAAACGGCUGCUAAUACCGCAUGAUGUAUCUGGAUCGCAUGGUUCUGGAUACCAAAGAUUUAUCGCUCUGAGAUGGACUCGCGUCUGAUUAGCCAGUUGGCGGGGUAACGGCCCACCAAAGCGACGAUCAGUAGCCGGCCUGAGAGGGUGAACGGCCACAUUGGGACUGAGACACGGCCCAAACUCCUACGGGAGGCAGCAGUGGGGAAUAUUGCACAAUGGGGGAAACCCUGAUGCAGCGACGCCGCGUGAGUGAUGAAGUAUUUCGGUAUGUAAAACUCUAUCAGCAGGGAAGAUAAUGACGGUACCUGACUAAGAAGCACCGGCUAAAUACGUG
rnacentral:rRNA from 1 species